rnacentral:rRNA from 1 species
AGAGUUGAUCCUGGCUCAGGACGAACGCUGGCGGCGUGCUUAACACAUGCAAGUCGAGCGAUGAAGCUUCUUCGGAAGUGGAUUAGCGGCGGACGGGUGAGUAACACGUGGGUAACCUGCCUCAUAGAGGGGAAUAGCCUUCCGAAAGGAAGAUUAAUACCGCAUAAGAUUGUAAUAUCGCAUGAUAUAGCAAUUAAAGGAGCAAUCCACUAUGAGAUGGACCCGCGUCGCAUUAGCUAGUUGGUGAGGUAACGGCUCACCAAGGCGACGAUGCGUAGCCGACCUGAGAGGGUGAUCGGCCACAUUGGGACUGAGACACGGCCCAGACUCCUACGGGAGGCAGCAGUGGGGAAUAUUGCACAAUGGGGGAAACCCUGAUGCAGCCAACGCCGCGUGAGUGAUGACGGUCUUCGGAUUGUAAAGCUCUGUCUUCAGGGACGAUAAUGACGGUACCUGAGGAGGAAGCCACGGCUAACUACGUGCCAGCCGCAGC